UUUUCUGGGGGUAUCCAUGUCAGCAGCCUCGGGAUUCCAAGGCAUGGAAAGUCAGCUGGAAAUUCAGAGUGCCAGGAGGGAAGUCCAAACUUACUUUGCAGAAAGAAGAAGGUUCUGCUGUUUCACUGAUCUAAAAAGUCCUGUGCAUCCCUCAGUGGCUUCACCUUGCACUCAGGUUUUAGAAAUGUUUGCUGUCCUAAAUGAGCACCUUCUGUCAGAAAUUUCCAUAGACACAUCACUCUGAGGAAACAGUUGGGUGAGAUGAGCUCAGGUGAAAUCUGCUGCAAAGAUCCUACAGUCUUCAGCAGGCUUACAAGUGUAGAGGCUUGCAGGGUUGAUGCUUUAUCAUCUGUAGAGCACAUGAGAUUCAACAUGAACCCUGCUGCAGGUGACCCUGCUUGAGCAGGGGGUUCUUCCAACCUCGACCAUUCUCCAGUUCUGUGUUCCCUUGCUGCAUUGAGCUUUCUUUUCUUGGCUUUUCUAAAUAUAAUAAUUCUGUGUAGAGA